UGGAUGGUAACUUUCUUCCUUGAAUCUUGGCAUGGCUAAUGGAUGAGGGUCCAGAGCAAGGCGCCAUGCGAGAGUUCUUCCCCAGGGAGAACAGGCUGCUGCCUCUUUUGGGCACCCAACUCUGUGGUUCUCUCUAGGCUUAUGAGGGAGAACAAAGGCCUCUUUGUUCCAUGGAACAGAAACUCAGGAGGGCCUGGGCUCCCGGGCACUGGCCUUGGGAAUUGCUGGUCAUUCCCAGUCAUGCCCGUUCACUGGGAAGUAUGACCUUCCUAACUGUUGUCCAGGGAACAUUUCCUGGCCUCAUUUUCCCAUCUCCUCCAGGCCCCAGACCUCAGACUUCUCCGAGACAGGCCCAGUGCCUCUCUGCUCCACUUCAGAUGCACCUUCUGCUGCACUCUGCUCUCGUUGGGCCUGAUGCGCACACACUCAGCUUUUCAUCCUGCUUUGCAGACACCUCACAUCUCCACACCCCAGUCCCCUUGUCUGCUGAAUGGGCGUAUGAGGGCACCUUCUCAUAGGACUGUGAGGACAAAGCCUGAGGAACAGCUACCUGUGCCUGACACACACCUUAGUGCCACCUUCUUAGAAACCUACUUGCCAUGAGAGCCAAACACAGGCUAAAACGCAAAAGAAGAAAGAUGGGGCAGAGGUGGAAGCCUGUGUACCCAUGGAGGCAGAGGGAGUGCCAGAGGCUGAGGACACUGGUACAACCGUUGGACUGCAUGCUACUGUCUACAACUUGUCUUUCAAUGGAUCCAGAACAUCCAUCGCCAUCUGAUCACCAAGAGCACCUCUAAGAGAUCCCCCUUGGUCACCAAAGCAGUCCCUUUUGUCCUCUGCCCUGGACCUGGGACAGCCUGGACUAGUUCUGUUCUCAGUGGUGGCUGAGUGUAACACAUAUACACUAAAUCAUCUCUUCCGUUGUCGCAGCCAAAGAAUCGAAAAAAAUUUAAAAAGGGGAGGGGAUGACAAGUAAAAGAAGAAACACAAGGAGGAAAAUAAGGUACUAGAAAUGGUGUCAGGAUGCAGAAUAUAAGCCAUGCUACCUGCUAGAGGUGGGACUCAAAUUUGUUUCUAAGUUUUCUAGCAGUGAAGGCAAAGAAGAGGAGGGAUAUUAACAUGAUUCCAAGUCCAGGAGCUAGAAAUGAAAUCAGUUGUUUAGGAAGACCCACUCCUGAGCACAUGAGGCUGUUGGUCUCAUAAUUUCUCUGAAAUAGUACAUACCCAUUGUCAACGAGAUUCUUAAUAGUGCAGGCAGAAGCUGUGGUGUGCUAGUAAAUGUCUAACAACAAGCUCAUGGGGUGGAUUGGGUGAUGUGUAGUGUUUGCCAGUUUCUGUGGUGUAAAUACUCCCACCACAGCCAAUUUCAAGCUACUUAAGUGAAGUCACUGAACACCAGGUAAAAUAACCUCAAGAGUAUAAUAAUAGCAAAAUGUAGAAAAAUCAUUAGGCCGUGGGGAGUUUUGAAUACUUAUUGUCUUUUUAAAUAUAAUCCAAUUGUAAGCUCAUAUAAUUUGAUUUUGUUUUGUUUUGUUUUGUUUUAGACAGGGUCUCACUCUGUCACCCAGGCUGGAGCACAAUGUUGCUGUCACAGCUCACUGCAUCCUCAACCUCCUGGGUUCAAGCGAUCCUCCCACCUCAGCCUCCUGAGUAGCUGGGACCCCAGGCCUGUGCCACCACGACUGGCUAAUUUUUGUAUUUUUUUGUAGACACAGGGUUUUGCCAUGUUGCCCAAGCUGGUCCCAAACUCCUGGACUCAAGCCAUCUGCCCACUUCAGCCUCCCAAAGUGCUGGGAUGACAGGUGUGAGCCACCGCACCUGGCCUAUAAUUUGAUUUUUAAUGCUGCUGGCUCAUGAAAUGCCUGAAGAUUGAAUGAAGUUGAGCACACCAACUUAGACGCUGUGGCCAAAUCCGAAGUUCCCACGUGUCCCAAGUCCCGUGGUUGGAUGUGGCGAUCCCAGCUGGGUGGCAAGGGAGGUGACAGAAGCCACCUGUCAGACACAGAUGGAGAUGGUGCUGUACGUGGUACUAAGGCUGUGCAUAACAAGGAACUAGUUGGCUGCCCCGUGGGCCCUCAGGGAGCGACAGACCAGCAACCUCUGAGGAUUAAGUCAGGGGCUCCCAGCUGAACACAUGCUUCAGAAAUGCCCUCAGCCACGGGAAGUUUCUCUGUGUGUCUGGAUACAGACUCACAGGAUCCAGGGCAGACAGGGCCUUCCGAGGGUAGCCCAGUGAGUCCCUAAUGCAUGUGUGCCGUCUAUGGUAGCUCUUUGCUUGAAAACUUCCACUGCCAGGGACCUCACUGCUUCCCAUCAUUCAUUCUCCGAGCGCAUUUCUCGAGUGCCCUCUUGCGCCAAGCACUGUGUUGGCACUGACUGGACAGUGGUGAUCCUCCAUACAGGGAAACUUAAAGUCUCAUCCAGCUGUUACAGAAUGCCACUGGGGGCUGUAGAGUCCGACCCCCCACCAGGUUUUCUCUCAGCUCCACCUCCUCCCAGCUAUGCAACCCUGGGAAAUUGCUCACCUUCUGAGUCUGUUUCUUCCCUUGUGGAAGGAGGCUGAUAGACCUUGCUGCAAAGUAAUGUUUGAAAUAUCUGGUACAGGACAGGUGCGGUGGCUCACACCUGCAAUCCCAGCACUUUGGGAGGCCAAGGCAGGCCGAUCACCUGAGAUCAGGAGUUCGAGACCAGCCUGGCCAACACGGUGAAUCCCCGUCUCUACUAAAGAGACAAAAAAUUAGCCGGGCUUGGUGGCGCCUAUAGUUCCAGCUAUUCGGGAAGCUGAGGCAGGAGAAUCACUUGAACCCAGGAGGUGGAGGUUGCGGUGAGCCGAGAUGGCACCAUCAACUCCAGCCUGGGCAACACAGCAAGACUCCGUCUAAAAAAAAAAAUGAAAUGUCUGGUACAGGGCCUGGCUCACAGUGAAUGUUUGCAGGGGCCUUGCUCUGCCCUUCAAAGCCACACAAAGUGUGAUUCCUUCUGUACAUGAGAUCCCUCCAAAAAGUGGAAGCAGCCCUCUUAAUAAUAAUAGUAAAAAUAAUAACACAGAGAGAUCGAAUUCUGUGUGCCAGGGGCUGUUCUUGAGGCUCUGUGUUAAAACACUGAAUGAUUUCAUCGACCAUGGAAGAUGGCUACUAUCAUUACGCAAAUGAAAAAAUGAAGGGCCAGAGAGGUUGAGUAACUUCUCAAAGUCACACAGCAAGGAAUUAAGUGGUGGCCUCAGGACUUAUAUGCAGGGGAAGCAGCAGACUCCAGCCAGACAUCCCCUCCUCCUGAAGCAGGGUCAGGUACCGCACCCACCCAGUUUCUCUCCCCUUCCCACUGCCCCAGAACAGGACUCACUGCUCCACACAGGGUUCCACCACCCCAGUGUGGAAGGCGCAGGGCUGGUGGUCCCUGCCCAUUGCUGGGCUCACCCCACCGUGGCUCCCAACCCCUAGGUCCUGGAAAGAUGUCUCCCCUCUCUCCGCCUUGAGGACAUUUUCACUGGCUGAAGGCAUAAAAUGUUCUAGUAAAGUUAUCGACUUUUCUUUGUUGGAAAAUACUGCUUUUUAACCUGGCAUAUGUUGCUUGCUUUUUUUUUUUAAGGUCCUUUCUUUUAUGACAUGAUGCCUCAACUGGCAAAAUAAAAAAG
rnacentral:lncRNA from 10 species